UUUGUAGAUAGAAAUCCAAGCUCCUCCUGGUGUACCAAUAGGUUAUGUUAUUCAGACUUGGCACCCAUGUCUACCAAAGUUUACAAUUCAAAAUGAGAAAAGAGAGGAUGUACUAAAAAUAAGUGGUCCAUGCGUUGUGUGCAGCUGUUGUGGAGAUGUUGAUUUUGAGAAUGAUGAUAUCAAGAUUAAAUCUCUUGAUGAACAGUGUGUGGUUGGCAAAAUUUCCAAGCACUGGACUGGAAUUUUGAGAGAGGCAUUUACAGACGCUGAUAACUUUGGAAUCCAGUUCCCUUUAGACCUUGAUGUUAAAAUGAAAGCUGUAAUGAUUGGUGCCUGUUUC
rnacentral:sRNA from 1 species